rnacentral:pre_miRNA from 1 species
AUGUAGGGCAAUCUGUCUUUAAGUAGGGGUAAAUACUCUACAAGAAAUGUUUUCUCUUCAAGUCAAGCAUCUUGU